rnacentral:rRNA from 1 species
AACGAACGCUGGCGGCAGGCCUAACACAUGCAAGUCGAACGAGAUCUUCGGAUCUAGUGGGCGGACGGGUGAGUAACGCGUGGGAACGUGCCCUUCUCUACGGAAUAGUCCUGGGAAACCUGGGUUUAAUACCGUAGUACGCCCCUUCGGGGGAAAGAAUUUCGGGGAAGGAUCGGCCCGCGUUGGAUUAGGUAGUUGGUAGGGGUAAGU